AAAGUACUCCCUCCGUCCCAAAAUUCUUGUCUUAGAUUUGUCUAGAUACGGAUGUAUCAAGUCACAUUUUAGUAUUAGAUACAUCCGUAUCAAGACAAAUCUAAGACAAGAAAUUUGGGACAGAGGGAGUAGUUG
rfam:Triticum aestivum genome assembly, contig: Triticum_aestivum_CS42_TGACv1_scaffold_667584_T_4AL-0.028175_5DL-0.016344